rnacentral:rRNA from 1 species
GACGAACGCUGGCGGCGUGCUUAACACAUGCAAGUCGAACGGAAAGGCCCCCUUGUGGGGUACUCGAGUGGCGAACGGGUGAGUAACACGUGAGUAACCUACCCUUGACUUUGGGAUAACUUCAGGAAACUGGGGCUAAUACCGGAUAGGAGCUCCUGCUGCAUGGUGGGGGUUGGAAAGUUUCGGCGGUUGGGGAUGGACUCGCGGCUUAUCAGCUUGUUGGUGGGGUAGUGGCUCACCAAGGCAUUGACGGGUAGCCGGCCUGAGAGGGUGACCGGCCACAAGGGGACUGGGGGACGGCCCAGACUCCUACGGGAGGCAGCAGUGGGGAAUAUUGCACAAUGGGCGGAAGCCUGAUGCAGCAACGCCGCGUGCGGGAUGACGGCCUUCGGGUUGUAAACCGCUUUCGCCUGUGACGAAGCGUGAGUGACGGUAAUGGGUAAAGAAGCACCGGCUAACUACGUG